CCUGCCUGCCAAGUGGUAUGUAAGUUUAGUAUGGCUCAGCGUGCAUCAGAGUGAGCAGGCUGCUGGGGCGCGGAGCCUGUGAGCAGACUCUGGUCUCCCGGCUGCUGAGGCUCCGGACUUGCAACUCAGGACUGAGUCUGUACGCUGAACAGCUGCUGUCCGGAGCUUCUUCUGGGACCAAGGCGAGAAAGCCCCGCGGCUGUAGUCAGCUUGCCUUCCCUCUUGGGCAUUCUUGACCGUGGAAAACAAUGGGAAUGGGAAUGCUGAAGGGAUUCGGUUCCCAGCGCUCCGGUCUCGGCUACUGAGAUUUUCCGUGCUGGUGAAGCCUGAAGCUCGGGCUUGCUCGGGGUGGGAGGUGAUCCUUCCUUUACCCUGAGGCGGUCUCCAGGCGGGUGAUCAGUGGCGCCCGGGGGGCAUCGUCCGCGCCCCACCGUCGUUCCCCGGAGCAGUGUCCUCUGAGCCCUGCCCAACGCACGGAAACUCGCGCUGCCCAUGGGACCUUCAGCCUCUCAGGCUCGCGAAAGAAUGGAUGGCGUGGCUUCAUCAUUCCCUGGAGGUGGGGGCGUGGAGAGGGUCCAGGACAGGGGUCCUCUCCCUCCCGAGCUCCCACCUAUCUGGGGUGUGUGCGUGGGGGACUCAUGCAGUUUGGACCCGAGAUGGAAUUGGGGCUUUCCCCUCCUCCCCACUGCACCCCACUCCGUUCUCUUGGGCGGCUCUCUGCUGUGGAUUAUUGGUACGAUUCGACCGGAGUAGGAAUACCCGCCACCCUGGCUUCAGUGGAUUUACUCUCUUUGCUGACCCUUGACCCGCUCCUGCCUGUCAAACCCCUAACCUGCGGCAGAUGUGCCCAGGAAUGGAAAUAAAGGACUUGGGCUGAGCAUCUUAGUGUGAAGAGGAGCAAGAAUGAGCAAUCUUGGCUGUGUGUGUGAUGAAAAUGGUUCUCUGCGUUGUAUACACAGCUGCAUUCAGAAGAUUGUGGCAGACGUGCCUGACAGAAUGCUUUACUCCAAAAGAUGAAGGGUAUGACCCUUCUACAACAGUGAUUCUUACACAAGAGAAUAAGGCCCUGAGAGGAAGAACUGGCAGAUGGAAAUACUGGGACAGAAUGUCCAAGUUGGCUCUGCCUUCCCUUGAGUCUACCACCUCCAGCACUCUUUGCACUAGGAUUUUUAUCAGUGUAGAAGAAGAGCCAUUGAGCCCAACAGAUGGACUCCACCAGGGCCUGAUCACCUUUUAAAAAUUAACAUUCUUGGAUUUGGAUUGAGAAGUAUUUGCAACAUGACCUUUCGGGGAAGAAAAAUAUCACAUGCCAAGGGUCAAUAAAUCAAUAUUUAUUAAGUACCUACUGUGUGCU
rnacentral:lncRNA from 1 species